GUGAGGAAUAUUGGUCAAUGGGCGGGAGCCUGAACCAGCCAAGUCGCGUGAAGGAAGAAGGAUCUAUGGUUCGUAAACUUCUUUUGCAGGGGAAUAAAGUGCAGGACGUGUCCUGUUUUGUAUGUACCCUGAGAAUAAGGAUCGGCUAACUCCGUGCCAGCAGCCGCGGUAAUACGGAGGAUCCGAGCGUUAUCCGGAUUUAUUGGGUUUAAAGGGUGCGUAGGUGGUUUGAUAAGUCAGCGGUGAAAGUUUGCAGCUUAACUGUAAAAAUGCCGUUGAAACUGUCGGACUUGAGUGUAAAUGAGGUAGGCGGAAUGCGUGGUGUAGCGGUGAAAUGCAUAGAUAUCACGCAGAACUCCGAUUGCGAAGGCAGCUUACUAAGCUACAACUGACACUGAAGCACGAAAGCGUGGGGAUCAAACAGGAUUAGAUACCCGAGUAGUCC
rnacentral:rRNA from 1 species